AUGGACCCUCAUGAGAUACUGAAUGUCCUAUUCCAUUAUGGUGGAUAAUUCAUCGGAAUUGGGCCUAAUAUUAGCUAUGUUGGAGGAGAUGAGGCAUUCUCAGAGAUAGAGAGGGACAAGUUGUCUCUGCAAGAAUUGAAAGGAUUUCUGAAGGAUCACACUGCAGUGAAAGAAUCAAUGAAAUUUUAUUUUUUGAUUCCUGGAAAAGAACUGGUUAAUGGUUUGAUGUUUCUUAGUGAUGACAGCAGUUGUGUGAGAAUUGCAGAGUACAUUCCUGCUGGUUCAGUAGCUGAUGUGUAUGUUGAGUAUCAUGGAGAAGAAGAGCAUAGUGAGCACAGUACCAGUUCCAGUGAUUUUGAGGAAGAAAUCAAUGCAGAGGAAGACAGUGAAGAAGAACCUGAUGCUAUCAUCACUGCUCCUGAAGAAGAACAAGUGGAUGUGCUCAUUACUGAUGAUGCUGGUGUUAUAAAAGAAGUAAUAAGAAGCCCAGUGAAG
rnacentral:rRNA from 1 species